rnacentral:rRNA from 1 species
UAGGGAAUCUUCCACAAUGGACGCAAGUCUGAUGGAGCAACGCCGCGUGAGUGAAGAAGGUUUUCGGACCGUAAAGCUCUGUUGUUGGUGAAGAAGGAUAGAGGUAGUAACUGGCCUUUAUUUGACGGUAAUCAACCAGAAAGUCACGGCUAACUACGUGCCAGCAGCCGCGGUAAUACGUAGGUGGCAAGCGUUGUCCGGAUUUAUUGGGCGUAAAGCGAGCGCAGGCGGAAGAAUAAGUCUGAUGUGAAAGCCCUCGGCUUAACCGAGGAAUUGCAUCGGAAACUGUUUUUCUUGAGUGCAGAAGAGGAGAGUAGAACUCCAUGUGUAGCGGUGGAAUGCGUAGAUAUAUGGAAGAAUACCAGUGGCGAAGGCGGCUCUCUGGUCUGCAACUGACGCUGAGGCUCGAAAGCAUGGGUAGCGAACAGGAUUAGAUACCCUGGUAGUCCAUGCCGUAAAACGAUGAGUGCUAAGUGUUGGGAGGCUUCCGCCUCUCAGUGCUGCAGCUAACGCAUUAAGCACUCCGCCUGGGGGAGUACGACCGCAAAGGUUGAA